AAGCGGGUGAAAAGCCCGCUCGCCGGAAGACCAAGGGUUCCUGUCCAACGUUAAUCGGGGCAGGGUGAGUCGACCCCUAAGGCGAGGCCGAAAGGCGUAGUCGAUGGGAAACGGGUUAAUAUUCCCGUACUUGGUGUUACUGCGAAGGGGGGACGGAGAAGGCUAUGUUGGCCGGGCGACGGUUGUCCCGGUUUAAGCGUGUAGGUGUGUGUUCCAGGUAAAUCCGGUUCACUUUAACACUGAGGCGUGAUGACGAGGCACUACGGUGCUGAAGCAACAAAUGCCCUGCUUCCAGGAAAAGCCUCUAAGCAUCAGGUAACAUCAAAUCGUACCCCAAACCGACACAGGUGGUCAGGUAGAGAAUACCAAGGCGCUUGAGAGAACUCGGGUGAAGGAACUAGGCAAAAUGGUGCCGUAACUUCGGGAGAAGGCACGCUGACACGUAGGUGAAGUGAUUUACUCA
rnacentral:rRNA from 2 species